GGAGGGGCAAAAGUCGGUUUUGAGAAAAAAAAAAAAAAAGCUUUAUGGGAGGAAAAAAAUCUUUAAACAGUCACGCCCCCUUUUGCAAUGACCGGUCCCUUCACUGCGUGUAAAUUCGACAUCAGCAACCUGGAAAAGCUAGGAGCCUGGCGUGCUGAGCUGUCUCUGUGCAUGCGUGUGUGCGACAGGCAGCCUCAGAGAUGUAUACGCGGUAUAGCGAGGGAGGCGUCGUCCCGAGCUUCUCCUCCUCCAUGCCAAAAAAAAAAAAAACCAACACCCAACCCCACCUUCUGGAAACCUGACUAAUUGAAUUACUAAGAACUCGGAUUGGUUCCUGUGCAGCCUUACUGCUAAAGGAAGAAGAAAUAAUCUUAUGAAAAGAAUAUAAGGAAAUGGCUUCAGACAAACCUUAACCAGUAUUUAUUUGUGCAUGUAAGUAUUUUCAACUUGCUAGAAUGGAGGAAUUAAAUUAAGAUUCUCGAUACUCUUUUUGUUAUGCUGUCUGGCGACUCCCUUGCUCCCCUAACCCUCAUUUUCCAGUCCACUAACCAGGGAUAGAUUAUAUGUUUACUCUACUGAGUAAUGUACUGAGGCUCAAUAACUUCAUGGGUUUGGAUGCUCAAAGAAGCAGAUUCAAGACCCUUGUAUAAAAAUAAAAGAAAAUGCCAUAGCACAAAAUACAGUAAUUGAAUUUUAAAUAACUUUUAAAGGGGUAUCUUUCUGAGGUAUUUUCAGGAAUAUUAGUUUGUCCGGCAAUUAUGCACGUUCCUUUUUGCCUAUGGUUCUUAAGAAUUUGCUAUUGUUUUUAAUGAAAAUCUAGUUAUCAACUUUGCUUCCAUUUCAGUUUGUCGGCUCAAAUCCUGUGUGUCUGGCUGAGCAGUCAAAAAGAUCUUUAGCUCACAAAUUGGGCAAGAUCUUUUCAGCACAUAACUUUGAAUGUGAGUCUGAAAAUUUGCAAAAUUUAAUACAUUGAGAAAAACUUUGAGAAGGAGCCAAAAUAUUUUGUACCUUCAUAUAGCUAUUUCAUUAUUUUUUUCAUCCCCAAAGCUUGCAAGGGAGAAAAUUACAAGUCACAAGAUUUUCAAAGACAUAAAUCUAUUCCUAGACACAGAAGUACUGAAGUUAAAUGCAAUGUCCCCUCCAUAUAUGUAGGUAAUAACUAAGACAUAGUGUGUUGCCAGUCAAGUUUGUUUGUCUUCAUAAAUACUUUUGCUCAUGUUUGCUAAAUAUCUAAUUAUGAGGAUUUUUUUUGUUGACACACCUUAAAGA